rnacentral:rRNA from 1 species
UGGUGUGAUCAUACCAGCACUAAUGCACCAGAUCCCAUCAGAACUCCGUAGUGAAGCGUGCUUGGGAGUGAGUAGUAUUAGAACGGGUGACCUCCUGGUAAGUUCUCGUGUAGUACUUC